rnacentral:rRNA from 1 species
AUGCCAUCGUGGUGGAAGCGCUCCAAGACCGCCUUCCGCCGCUCCGCCACCACCGCCGCCUCCUCCGCCCCGGCCUCCCCCGCGCGGGCGUCCACCUCGCGCUCACAGACGCGACGCGCGGGGUCCGAAGACGCCGGGGACCUCCUCCUCGCGCGGCCACACCGCCAGCCGCGCCAGCUCACGCGACAGCGGAAGCUGCGCCACGUCUACGAUAUCGACGCGCUGCUCGCCGACCUCGGCAUCGACGUCGCGUCCUCCUCCUCGCCGCCGCACGCCAGGGGGCGCGCCUCCGCAUCCGAUGCCGUCGGCCUCGGUCCCCCGAUCUCGAGGUCCUCCAACGCCGCGGACGGGGUGGUAGCUCCGCCUCCGAGGUCCGCGUCGUCCCCCGUGUUGCACCCGCUGCCGUUGCCGUCACCGUCACCGAAGCCCCCCGCAGAGCUGGAGACGACGGACUCGGCGGGGGUCGCGGAAGGCGGGAACGAGAGGGCGUCGUUGCAAAUACCGAGGGUGACAGGUCAGACUGUGCAAAAGUUCCCUGAACAUAAUGAUUUCUGCUCAAAUGGUACAAAGCGGUCUACCUCUAGUCACCACCGAAAAGCACUCCGUGACAAGUUCCAGGAUAAGAGUUCAGCUGAAACAGGGAACUUCCGUUUGAACAUUCCAACUAGAAGUGCUCCAACCAGUGGAUUUUCCAGUCCCGUAGGCAGCCCUCCAAGAUUGAGCAAUGCUGACGUCUCAUCUACUGUGGCAUCUUCUCAUGCUCCUCAAGCAUGGUCAGCUCCAUCGAUCCACACUAUUGAUUUUCUGGGAGCUUUAUCUCCUCGGACUUCGCCUGAAAAACUUACAGGGGCUUCAGAGCCAUCUCCUUACUCUAGUACAUUCAGAAGUCCUAUUCUUAUGCCAAGGAAUACCAGUGCCCCUCCAUCGCCACUCCCAAAGUUAUUCCCAGAAAACCAAAUUUCACGUACUGAAGUCAAUGGAAGUGCUAGUUUGCAUCCAUUACCACUUCCUCCUAGUGCUAUAAGCCCAAUGCAAACAUCUUUCAGCAACCAGCCUGCUCCAAAAGUUGAAAUGCCUUCGGUGUCUUGUCAGUGGCAAAAAGGAAAACUUCUAGGUAGUGGUACAUUUGGCUGUGUAUAUGAAGCUACCAAUAGGAACACUGGAGCUCUUUGUGCAAUGAAAGAGGUCAACAUAAUUCCUGAUGAUGCUAAAUCUGCCGAGUCGUUGAAUCAACUGGAGCAGGAAAUAAAGUUCCUAAGUCAAUUUAAACAUGAAAACAUAGUUCAGUAUUAUGGCAGUGACACUAUUGAAGAUCGUUUCUACAUUUACCUGGAAUAUGUACAUCCGGGUUCGAUUAAUAAGUAUGUCAAACAACAUUAUGGAGCAAUAACAGAAUCAGUUGUCCGUAACUUCACCCGACAUAUUCUUAGAGGCCUAGCUUUUUUGCAUGGCCAAAAGAUUAUGCAUAGGGAUAUCAAAGGAGCAAAUCUGCUAGUUGAUAUCAAUGGUGUAGUGAAAUUGGCCGAUUUUGGAAUGGCCAAGCAUUUAAGUACUGCAGCCCCAAAUCUUUCAUUGAAGGGAACACCAUACUGGAUGGCCCCAGAGAUGGUUCAGGCUACACUAGCUAAAGAUGUAGGAUAUGAUCUCGCUGUUGAUAUCUGGAGUCUUGGUUGCACCAUCAUUGAGAUGUUCGAUGGAAAACCUCCUUGGAGUGAUCUUGAAGGGCCUGCUGCAAUGUUUAAGGUUUUGCAUAAAGACCCACCAAUUCCUGAGAAUUUAUCCCUAGAGGGAAAAGAUUUUCUGCAAUGCUGUUUCAAGAGGAAUCCAGCAGAGAGGCCGACCGCAAGUGAGUUGUUGGACCAUCCAUUUAUCCGGAAUUCAAGUCACUACAGCAAACAUGGUUCCAUACAUGCGUUUGCGGGGAUUAAAGUCCAUGAUAACGGAUACGGUUUCAGGGACAAAACAUCCUCCAAGAGUGAACCAUAUGUGAAAGGAAGAAAUACUAUUGGUGAACCAAACAAUUCUAGGCCAUUCGAAUCGUCAGCCUUUCGACUGACGCCACUAACAAUCCAGGAAGUCGCACCUAAUUUCGCCCCUCAACCGUUUGGUUUAGCGUCCAAUCCUGGUUCCUUUGCCAUCUCAACGAACCCCAUGCAUUUUCCGAUGGCGAACCCUCAGCCUAGCCCACUGCCAAGGCCCAAUGGAAAGGAGGUUCUCUUCUAA